rnacentral:tRNA from 1 species
AGUGAGUUGGCAGAGUAGUGCCACCGACUUAGGAUCGGUUCAUGGGUGUCACCCACUCACUA